rnacentral:lncRNA from 1 species
ACGGCUCCCCCCCCAUCCCGAUGCCCCCGGACCGCUGGUCCCGUGGGACCAAACGGAAACGGAAUCGGAGGCCCGGAUCAUGAGUUACGGCCGAAACCGGCAAAGCCUACUAAGCGGCCCCCGAUCUUGCCCUUUUUUCGCCGUUCAAACUGCCGCGCGGCUACCCCCCCAUCCCGAUGCCCCCGGACCGCUGGUCCCGUGGGACGAAACGGAAACGGAAUCGGGGGCCCCGAUCAUGAGUUACGGCCCCUUCUUUGCGGCCCCCGAGGUCGUGCGCUAUAGCCCCCCGGGCGCCCCCGCCGCCGACCGCACCCGCCCGAACCCGACCACCUCACCCGCCGUGUACCGAUCCCGCCCCGCGGUACCCCCCGGGGCAUGAACCGCCCACCGGGGGGCCGAAACCGGCAAAACAGGCCGAACGGCCCCGAUCUUACCCAUUUUUCGGCGAUCAAACCGCCGCACGGCUCCCCCCCCAUCCCGAUGCCCCCGGACCGCUGGUCCCGUGGGACCAAACGGAAACGGAAUCGGAGGCCCGGAUCAUGAGUUACGGCCGAAACCGGCAAAGCCUACUAAGCGGCCCCCGAUCUUGCCCAUUUUUCGCCGUUCAAACUGCCGCGCGGCUACCCCCCCAUCCCGAUGCCCCCGGACCGCUGGUCCCGUGGGACCAAACGGAAACGGAAUCGGGGGCCCCGAUCAUGAGUUACGGCCCCUUCUUUGCGGCCCCCGAGGCCGUGCGCUAUAGCCCCCCGGGCGCCCCCGCCGCCGACCGCACCCGCCCGAACCCGACCACCUCACCCGCCGUGUGCCGAUCCCGCCCCGCGGUCCCCCCCGGGGGGUCAAACCCCCGCAAGGGGGGCCGAACGGCCCCGAUCUUACCCAUUUGUCGGCGAUCGAACCAUCUUCACGGCUCUCCCCCCCCAUCCCGAUGCCCCCCGGACCGCUGGUCCCGUGGGGACAAACGGGACCGGGAGUCCGAGCCCUGAUCAUGAGUUACGGCCGAAACCGGCAGAGCCUACUAAGCGGCCCCCGAUCUUGCCCAUUUUUCGCCGUUCAAACUGCCGCGCGGCUACCCCCCCAUCCCGAUGCCCCCGGACCGUUGGUCCCGUGGGACGAAACGGAAACGGAAUCGGGGACCCCGAUCAUGAGUUACGGCCCCUUCUUUAUGGCCCCCGAGGCCGUGCGCUAUAGCCCCCCGGGCGCCCCGCCGCCGAC